GAUUCAAGAACAGAUUCACAUACAUCUCUCAUCAUUUUAAGUGCAGCUGGCUUAUCAGUCACAUUAUUAAAGCCUAACUUCUCAAUGAGCUGCUACAAAGACAACACGCCGGCAAUAGCAGAUAUUCUUCAUACCAUUGUUGCUUCACAAAUAAAAUAAAUAUUGGUACUUUUUGGUUUGAUUAGUACUCAUACGCAUACAGUUGCAGAAUUAUGUAGAGCAGACGUGAAUACUAACAUCUCAUAUUGAACUCCUCGUGGCCUUCUAGCUCUGGGUGUCACCAUCACGAUCACCCAUCGUCUUCAUCAUCCGACAUCUUCACAAUAAAAUCAGAGUAAGAAACAUUGUAGUCAUGAACUACAUUAUGCGAAAUUAUCAAAAACAAGAGAUACUACAUUAGCAGUGCAUGGCUCCUCC
rnacentral:lncRNA from 1 species